UACGUAGGGGGCGAGCGUCGUCCGGAGUUACUGGCGUAAAGCGCACGCAGGCGGUCUGCUAAGUUUGGAGUGACAGUUGGUGGCUUAACUGCCAAAGUGCUUCGAAAACUGACAGACUUGAGGGCUUCAGAGGGACACGGAAUUCCGGGUGGAGUGGUGAAAUGCGUAGAGAUCCGGAGGAACACCAAAGGCGUAAGGCAGUGUCCCUGGGGAGUAC
rnacentral:rRNA from 1 species